rnacentral:rRNA from 1 species
GAUGAACGCUGGCGGCGUGCCUAAUACAUGCAAGUCGAGCGAACAGACGAGGAGCUUGCUCCUCUGACGUUAGCGGCGGACGGGUGAGCAACACGUGGAUAACCUACCUAUUAGAGUGGGAUAACUUCGAGACACCGGAGCUAAUACCGGAUAAUAUAUUGAACCGCAUGGUUCAUUAGUGAAAGACGGUUGUGCGGCUACUUAUAGAUGGAUCCGCGCCGCAUUAGCUAGUUGGUAAGGUAACGGCUUACCAAGGCAACGAUGCGUAGCCGACCUGAGAGGGUGAUCGGCCACACUGGAACUGAGACACGGUCCAGACUCCUACGGGAGGCAGCAGUAGGGAAUUUUCGGCAAUGGGCGAAAGCCUGACGGAGCAACGCCGCGUGAGUGAUGAAGGUCUUCGGAUCGUAAACCUCUGUUAUUAGGGAAGAACAGAUGUGUAAGUAACUAUGCACGUCUUGACGGUACCUAAUAAGAAAGCCACGGCUAACUACGUG